rnacentral:rRNA from 1 species
AUUCGUUGCACUAUCGUUAACUGAAUACAUAGGUUAACGAGGCGAACCGGGGGAACUGAAACAUCUAAGUACCCCGAGGAAAAGAAAUCAACCGAGAUUCCCCCAGUAGCGGCGAGCGAACGGGGAGCAGCCCAGAGUCUGAAUCAGCUUGUGUGUUAGUGGAACGGUCUGGAAAGUCCGACGGUACAGGGUGAUAGUCCCGUACACCAAAAUGCACAGGCUGUGAACUCGAAGAGUAGGGCGGGACACGUGGUAUCCUGUCUGAAUAUGGGGGGACCAUCCUCCAAGGCUAAAUACUCCUGACUGACCGAUAGUGAACCAGUACCGUGAGGGAAAGGCGAAAAGAACCCCGGCGAGGGGAGUGAAAAAGAACCUGAAACCGUGUACGUACAAGCAGUGGGAGCACCUUCGUGGUGUGACUGCGUACCUUUUGUAUAAUGGGUCAGCGACUUAUAUUCUGUAGCAAGGUUAACCGUAUAGGGGAGCCGCAGGGAAACCGAGUCUUAACUGGGCGUUAAGUUGCAGGGUAUAGACCCGAAACCCGGUGAUCUAGCCAUGGGCAGGUUGAAGGUUGGGUAACACUAACUGGAGGACCGAACCGACUAAUGUUGAAAAAUUAGCGGAUGACUUGUGGCUGGGGGUGAAAGGCCAAUCAAACCGGGAGAUAGCUGGUUCUCCCCGAAAGCUAUUUAGGUAGCGCCUCGUGAACUCAUCUUCGGGGGUAGAGCACUGUUUCGGCUAGGGGGUCAUCCCGACUUACCAACCCGAUGCAAACUACGAAUACCGAAGAAUGUUAUCACGGGAGACACACGGCGGGUGCUAACGUCCGUCGUGAAGAGGGAAACAACCCAGACCGCCAGCUAAGGUCCCAAAGUCAUGGUUAAGUGGGAAACGAUGUGGGAAGGCACAGACAGCCAGGAUGUUGGCUUAGAAGCAGCCAUCAUUUAAAGAAAGCGUAAUAGCUCACUGGUCGAGUCGGCCUGCGCGGAAGAUGUAACGGGGCUAAACCAUGCACCGAAGCUGCGGCAGCGACAC